rnacentral:rRNA from 1 species
AUUGAACGCUGGCGGCAGGCCUAACACAUGCAAGUCGAGCGGAUGAAGGGAGCUUGCUCCUGGAUUCAGCGGCGGACGGGUGAGUAAUGCCUAGGAAUCUGCCUGGUAGUGGGGGAUAACGUCCGGAAACGGGCGCUAAUACCGCAUACGUCCUGAGGGAGAAAGUGGGGGAUCUUCGGACCUCACGCUAUCAGAUGAGCCUAGGUCGGAUUAGCUAGUUGGUGGGGUAAAGGCCUACCAAGGCGACGAUCCGUAACUGGUCUGAGAGGAUGAUCAGUCACACUGGAACUGAGACACGGUCCAGACUCCUACGGGAGGCAGAAGUGGGGAAUAUUGGACAAUGGGCGAAAGCCUGAUCCAGCCAGGCCGCGUGUGUGAAGAAGGUCUUCGGAUUGUAAAGCACUUUAAGUUGGGAGGAAGGGCAGUAAGUUAAUACCUUGCUGUUUUGACGUUACCAACAGAAUAAGCACCGGCUAACUUCGUG